rnacentral:rRNA from 1 species
UACGUAGGGUGCAAGCGUUAAUCGGAAUUACUGGGCGUAAAGCGUGCGCAGGCGGUUGUGUAAGACAGAUGUGAAAUCCCCGGGCUCAACCUGGGAACUGCAUUUGUGACUGCACAGCUGGAGUGCGGCAGAGGGGGAUGGAAUUCCAGGUGUAGCGGUGAAAUGCGUAGAGAUCUGGAGGAACACCGAUGGCGAAGGCAGCCUUCUGGGCCAACACUGACGCUCAUGCACGAAAGCGUGGGGAGCAAACAGG